rnacentral:lncRNA from 1 species
GCUACUGUAGGGGAAGAGGGAGGCCAGCCCUGUGGAGAGCUCCAGUACACUAGGUCAUCUGUAUUUAACGUGUCCAGCAUUAUGAUAACCCAUUUUAGAAAUACUCAUGGAAUGGUUAUAACACCCCUGUGAGGGAGGUGGCAUCAUUUUUACAGAUAAAGGAAACUGAAGUAGACAUUAAGGGCCCCAGAGGGAUUUGAACCUAGGAUGCCUGGUUUGGGGGAUGUUCACCGCAGGUGCUGCUGACAUAAAUCAAGAUGCUUAAUUCUGGGUUCCGUCUUGGAGUGGCGCUGGAGAAGAGGGUCAGCAUCGACAGCAGGGCUGGCUGCCCACUCUGUCCUGUUUGCUCAGCUGUAAAAUGAGCAGAAGAGGUGCCUCCCGCUCCCACAAUCCUGUCUGGGGUCGGACCCUGAGUGGCAAGGAGAGAUCCCCUUCCGAGGAGAAGGAAGAGGCUGGCAGAGUGGGAAAGACUGAGGUAUAAGGAAAGGUGUCAUCUCCUGUAAUACCCAGACAGCCUCCAACCUCUUUGUCAUUUUAAGGCAGACCAGGUGAGACAAACAGGCCAUCUGCAUGUGAAGGCAGAUCCCUGUGAGGCGGAUGAGCCCCUCCGGGGUCUGUAAUGGGCCCUUCCUCCCCAGGGCACCCUGCCCUCUACAAAGCGGUGGUGGGGCCUGGCCCCUUGCCCUCCUGGGACUAAGCCUUGGGGGAGGGUGAUGGCAGCGGGGACACCGAGAAGGCUGAGCCCCUGGGCGCUGCAUUCAAGGACUCUCCACAUGUUUGUGCCCCGAAAGUAGGCACCUCUCUUGCUGCUAAGACCUGAGUUACCCCCCUAAUACCCUGGGGGCCCUGGAGGGGGGAGGGGAGAGGAGGUGGAGACAUAUGUGUCAAAGGUGGUAGGUGGUCCGGGGGAAGUAGAAAAAACCUGAGCUCAAGGCCAUAGAGCUAGCUGCCAUGGUGCAGAGUCCAGGGGAGGGUCCGGGCCCCUUCCUGCCUUAGAGGUUCUCUGUGCAAUUACACGUGUCAGCAAGAGUAAGAAUGUGUUUUCUUGUGGAAUCUGUAUGACUUUGGGGUUUGUAUAAAUGUGAGGGCACGGAAACCUUACAUGGGGCAGGGCUGCAGAUGUAUUUCUGCGCGUGCAUGUAUGUGAGUCCGUGUGUGCUCCAGGUUUCCUGCUAUGGUCUGAGCACCCCUCUGCCUGGGUCCCUCUGAAGCCUUCGCUUCCUCAUCUGUAAAAUGGGGACACCAGGUCACUGGGUACCAUUGUGAUUCCGAUUACCUUAUUCCCUCUCUACUACUGACCUUUUGUCCAAACACUGGCCAGUCAUUUCUGCUCCAAUCAAUCUGACAACACCCUGGGGAACAUAUGUAUACCUAUGGCUGAUCCAUAUUGAUGCACGGCAGACACCAACACAAUAUUGUAAUUAUCCUUCAAUUUAAAAUGUUUUUUAAAAAAUUGACAAUACCUUGAUUUUUAAGUCUAAAACCUG